rnacentral:rRNA from 1 species
GACGAACGCUGGCGGCGUGCUUAACACAUGCAAGUCGAACGAGUGGCGAACGGGUGAGUAAUACGUGGGUGAUCGGCCUUGCACUUCGGGAUAAGACUGGGAAACGGAGCCAAAUCACGGUUAAGGCAAGAUGAGCCCGGGGGCGAUCAGCUUGUGGGUGGGGUAAUGGCUACCAAGGCGCGAACGGUAGCCGGCCUGAGAGGGUGUACGGGGCCAUUGGGACUGAGAUACGUGCCAGAGGCGUACGGGGGGCAGCAGUGGGGAAUCUUGCACAACGUGCGGAAGUGUGAGGCAGAGACGCCGGGGGGGGGAUGAAGGCCUUCGGGUUGUAAAGUCCUUUCGACAGGGACGCGGUACCUGUAGAAGAAGCACCGGCUAACUACGUGCCAGCAGCCGCGGUAAUAC